rnacentral:rRNA from 1 species
AGCGAACGCUGGCGGCAGGCUUAACACAUGCAAGUCUAACCGCCAUCUUCGGCUGUCAGCGGCAGACCGGUGCGUAACACGUUGCAACGUACCCUUCGGUUCGGCACAACUCUUGGAAACUGGCGCUCAUACCGGAUCCGCCCUUAUGGCGAUAGGUUUACUGCCGAAGUCUCGGCCCGCGUCUGAUUAGCUUGUGGGUGGGGUAACGGCCUACCAAGGCGACGAUCAGUAGCUGGUCGGAGAGAAUGAUCAGCCACACUGGGACUGAGACACGGCCCAGACCCAUACGGGAGGAAGCAGUGGGGAAUACCGGGCAAAGGGCGCAAGGCUGACAGAGCGAAGCCGUGUGAGUGAGGAAGGCCUUAGGGGUGGAAAGACCUUUUGGCUGGGACGAUAAUGAAGGUACAGGAAGAAUAAGCCCCGGCUAACGUCGUG